rnacentral:tRNA from 1 species
GCCCGCUUAGCUCAUCGGUAGAGCGCAUCACUAGUAAUGAUGAGGCAACUGGUUCGAUUCCAGUAGUGGGCA